rnacentral:rRNA from 1 species
GAUGAACGCUGGCGGCGUGCCUAAUACAUGCAAGUCGAGCGAACGGACGAGAAGCUUGCUUCUCUGAUGUUAUCGGCGGACGGGUGAGUAACACGUGGAUAACCUACCUAUAAGACUGGGAUAACUUCGGGAACCCGGAGCUAAUACCGGAUGAUAUUUUGAACCGCAUGGUUCAAAAGUGAAAGACGGUCUUGCUGUUACUUAUAGAGGGAUCCGCGCUGCAUUAGCUAGUUGGUAAGGUAACGGCAUACCACGACAACGAUGGAUAGCCGACGUGAGAGGGUGAUCGUCGACACUGAAACUGAGACACGGUCCAGACUCCGACGGGAGGCAGCAGUAGGAGAUCUUACGCAAUGGGCGAAGGCCUAACGGAGCAACGGCGCGUGAGUGAGGGAGGUCUUCGGAUCGUAGAACUCUGUUAUUAGGGAAGAACAGAUGUGUAAGUAACUGUGCACGUCGUGACGGUACCUAAUCAGAAAGCCACGGCUAACUACGUG